rnacentral:rRNA from 1 species
UCGAACGGCAGCGGGGGCUUCGGCCUGCCGGCGAGUGGCGAACGGGUGAGUAAUGCAUCGGAACGUGCCCAGUCAUGGGGGAUAACUACGCGAAAGCGUAGCUAAUACCGCAUACGCCCUGAGGGGGAAAGCGGGGGAUCGCAAGACCUCGCGUGAUUGGAGCGGCCGAUGUCGGAUUAGCUAGUUGGUGGGGUAAAGGCCUACCAAGGCGACGAUCCGUAGCGGGUCUGAAAGGAUGAUCCGCCACACUGGGACUGAGACACGGCCCAAACUCCUACGGGAGGCAGCAGUGGGGAAUUUUGGACAAUGGGGGCAACCCUGAUCCAGCCAUGCCGCGUGAGUGAAGAAGGCCUUCGGGUUGUAAAGCUCUUUCAGACGGAAAGAAAUCGGGUGGGUGAAUAUUCUGCCUGGAUGACGGUACUGUCAGAAGAAGCACCGGCUAACUACGUGCCAGCAGCCGCGGUAAUACGUAGGGUGCGAGCGUUAAUCGGAAUUACUGGGCGUAAAGCGUGCGCAGGCGGUUGUGUAAGACAGGUGUGAAAUCCCCGGGCUUAACCUGGGAAAUGCGCUUGUGACUGCACAGCUAGAGUACGGCAGAGGGGGGUGGAAUUCCACGUGUAGCAGUGAAAUGCGUAGAUAUGUGGAGGAACACCGAUGGCGAAGGCAGCCCCCUGGGCCGAUACUGACGCUCAUGCACGAAAGCGUGGGGAGCAAACAGGAUUAGAUACCCUGGUAGUCCACGCCCUAAACGAUGUCGACUAGUUGUUCGGAGAGGUAACUCAAUGAGUGACGCAGCUAACGCGUGAAGUUGACCGCCUGGGGAGUACGGCCGCAAGGUUAAAACUCAAAGGAAUUGACGGGGACCCGCACAAGCGGUGGAUGAUGUGGAUUAAUUUGAUGCAACGCGAAAAACCUUACCUACCCUUGACAUGCCUGGAAUCCUUGAGAGAUCAGGGAGUGCCUUCGGGAGCCAGGACACAGGUGCUGCAUGGCUGUCGUCAGCUCGUGUCGUGAGAUGUUGGGUUAAGUCCCGCAACGAGCGCAACCCUUGUCGUUAAUUGCCAUCAUUAAGUUGGGCACUUUAGCGAGACUGCCGGUGACAAACCGGAGGAAGGUGGGGAUGACGUCAAGUCCUCAUGGCCCUUAUGGGUAGGGCUUCACACGUCAUACAAUGGUCGGUACAGAGGGCUGCCAAAGCGCGAGCUGGAGCCAAUCCCUUAAAGCCGAUCGU